GAUGAACGCUGGCGGCGUGCCUAAUACAUGCAAGUCGAGCGAACAGAUGAGGAACUUGCUCCUCUGACGUUAGCGGCGGACGGGUGAGUAACGCGUGGAUACCCUACCUAUAAGACUGGGAUAACUUCGGUAAACCGGAGCUAAUACCGGAUAAUAUAUUGAACCGCAUGGUUCAAUAGUGAAAGACGGUUUUGCUGUCACUUAUAGAUGGAUCCGCGCCGCAUUAGCUAGUUGGUAAGGUAACGGCUUACCAAGGCAACGAUGCGUAGCCGACCUGAGAGGGUGAUCGGCCACACUGGAACUGAGACACGGCCCAGACUCCUACGGGAGGCAGCAGUAGGGAAUUUUCGGCAAUGGGCGAAAGCCUGACGGAGCAACGCCGCGUGAGGGAUGAAGGUCUUCGGAUCGUAAACCUCUGUUAUUCGGGAAGAAAAAAUGUGUAAGAAACUAUGCACGUAUUGACGGUACCUAAUCAGAAAGCCCCGGCUAACUACGUG
rnacentral:rRNA from 1 species